rnacentral:rRNA from 1 species
CUACGUGCCAGCAGCCGCGGUAAUACGGAGGGUGCGAGCGUUAAUCGGAAUAACUGGGCGUAAAGGGCACGCAGGCGGUGACUUAAGUGAGGUGUGAAAGCCCCGGGCUUAACCUGGGAAUUGCAUUUCAUACUGGGUCGCUAGAGUACUUUAGGGAGGGGUAGAAUUCCACGUGUAGCGGUGAAAUGCGUAGAGAUGUGGAGGAAUACCGAAGGCGAAGGCAGCCCCUUGGGAAUGUACUGACGCUCAUGUGCGAAAGCGUGGGGAGCAAACAGGAUUAGAUACCCUGGUAGUCCACGCUGUAAACGAUGUCGAUUUGGGGGUUGAGCUUUGAGCUUGGCGCCCGUAGCUAACGUGAUAAAUCGACCGCCUGGGGAGUACGGCCGCAAGGUUAAAACUCAAAUGAAUUGACGGGGGCCCGCACAAGCGGUGGAGCAUGUGGUUUAAUUCGAUGCAACGCGAAGAACCUUACCUACUCUUGACAUCCAGAGAAC